ACAGGUGACUGAAUUUCUUAUCAUAACUCAUAAUAUCACAGAUUCUAAUCUUCGAGCUCAGCCACCAGAACACCCACUGUCUAGAGGAUGACACUGACUUGUCACAGGGCUAGGGAGUGGCAGAGUCAGGAUCAGAAUCAGGAUCUUACCGGGCAGUCGCUCAAGUCAGGGCUUGUGGCCAGUUGCUACUCUGCCCUCCACUAGUCCACAAGGACGUGACUGGUCAUCUCUGUAGACACAGGGACCAGCAAAGGGCCAGACACUUAACCCUAGUCUUUGCUGAGCCAAAGAAUGAAAAUGAGUACCCACAAACCUCCAGUAUAUAGACUGUUUUUAUAACUGCAUGAGAUAUGAGUGAAACCAAUAGAAAAUUAUCAACAUGUCCUCAGGAGUCACAAUAAAAUGAAUGGCAACAAGUGCUUGAAUCAGCGUGACCAACUACAACCUUCGUAUCGUGAUAACUGGAGAUCCAAUUAAAAAUGUGAGAACUUAGUACAAGUCUGGUGCGGACACGUUUUCGUCCCUGUUGGGUGCCUAUGAUCCAGCUCAAGGACAUGCUGACUGUCUUGCAGAGCAUGUGUACAGAAGGAGAUCUUCCACAGAAGGAGCCUGGGGACAGGCCGUUCUCUCCACGCAGUGAGGACGGGAGGAGCACAGCCCCAUGCUAGCGAUGCUGAGUCUGCCAGCACCUUCAGUUGUGUCAAUGCGGCACGGAACGAGAGAAGAAAAUGCAGGACAUCAGGUCUGGUCUCCGCUUGACCAAAGGCGAGGUUGAGAAGGCUGCCGCCGGCCCGGGCUCUCAGGCGACGAGCGCUCACUGCCCUCCAGUGGCGAGACGGGCGCAGGGCUCGCUGUGCUCCAGGCGUUCGCGGGAAGGCCUGGCUGCCACAGUCCCGUGCCUGCUACCAUGCUCGCUGCCUCGCACACUGUUUCAGGACGUGCGUGAGCCCGGACACAUUAUGUGUCGGGUGCUAUGGGCGUAUGAGAUGAAUUAUACAUUUUUACUGAGCUGUGUUCUCCAAAAAUUCUUAUGUCCUCACCCCCAGUACCUCAGAAUGUGACUGCAUUUGUUAAAGAGGUGAUUAAAUUAAAAUGAGGGUGAUAGGGUGGGCUUGAUCCAAUCUGGCUGGUUCCUUAUAAGAAGAGACACAGACACAGAAACAAGAGGGAAGGCCGCUGAUGACACAGCGAGAAGGCACAUCCUACAAGGGGCUCUGUGAUCUCGGUCAGGACGUGAGUCAUGGAGGUGUCUCACCACAGACCCGUGUCCUCGGCAGGGCUGGGCUGUCCCCACACCGGACUUGGUGGUGAGCCUCCGGAACAACAGCUCGUGGACCCUGCCAGUGCACAACUCUGUCCAUCCUCCUUCUCAGAUCAGGCGCUGGUCUGCCACCCACGAGCCAUGCCUGAAGACUCUCCCCGCUCUGGGUGCUGUGGGGGACCUCAGGAGGGACCUGUCCCCAUCCCCCAGGGGAUCUCCCAAAAUGUGCAUGUGGGGAUGGCCCGGCCCUGCAGGCAGGAAGGCAGACCCGGAGCUGUUGAGGGCCCACUCCACACGCACUCGCCUCUCGGGCUGGAGUGGGCCUGGGAGCUUGCAGACCCCUUGCCCCUCAGCCCUGCAGCUGGCCCCUGGGACUUAAGCAAGGCUGUUGACUCAGAGGGGAGAAACCAAAUCUCUCACAGACGUGAUGCGCAUGCAGGCCUGACCCACAGGCUGCUCCCCUCACUGUCCGGAAAAGGCUGGGCACCAAAGUAUGAAGAGGUUAGACUUGUAAAUCUGCCAGUAAAGCACCACCCACACUAUGUGGGGCAGCAAGUCAGAGCAGGUACCCAGGAUGCUGGCUCACCCGGAAGCUGGGUGAAACAACUCAAAGUGGGCAGAUGAGAAAUUUCUGGACCUCUGGCUUCCGAGGGUGUCUUUCUGUCAGACUAAAGCAUGCUCUUGUCAGAGACCACAACCUUGUUGGCCUGCAGGCCCAGCUCCCUCCUGCAGCUCCUCAGAACGUCACCGCCUCCCAUCCUUUUGCCCCUUCUCACCACUUCUCACCAUCACUCACUUUCUCCACCAAGUCUUCUCCCAGGUCUCCAAAGCCCUUGUGGGCUGUUUGAGUCCUUCUCUUACUUGGCUUCUCUUUCUGGGGCACUUGACAUCCUUGAUUAUUCUUUCCCUCGGGGUGCUCGAGCCCCUACCUCUCAGUCUCUUGCUAGAUGUCUCCCCUUCUACUCUGUGACGAAAUCCUCCAGGGCUCUUUCCUCGUUCAUGUGUUCUCAUUCUCUCCCAGGGCCUUGCCUCCCGCUGGUAUGUGACCCCCCAAAAUUUGUCUGGAGCCACAGAUCUGCUGCCCCCAUCGUGCUUCCUGUCUCAGUGGAUGGUACCACUGCCGCCUACUGCCUGAGCUGGCCUCUGGGGCCAUCCACUGUUAUGUGGCUGAUUCACCUCACACCUCUUCCUACUUACCCACUAGAGCCACCAUGAAACAGAGGCUCCUCCACGCCAGGACAUGUCAGCUGGGUACUGAGGCCCAGCAAGGUUAAGAGACUUGCUCUGGAGACGUGACACCAGCAAAAACGGCGGAGCUGGAAAUUCUCUCCUCUGCAAAAUCAACAAGGACACUCUCAAUUAUUAUCAUAAUCAACUUUUUCAAAACUCUGGAAAUUUGUCAAAGGCUUGUAGAAAUCUGGGGAGUUUGUUCCAGGAAAAAAGCUGAAUCUUAGUAGGAACAGUGAGCUUUGUGGUUUUAACUCUCUCUGUUCUCAUUCGCCUCUCCUUAGCUCCAUGGUAAGCUUGAAAGCCAGCAGCCUGUAAUCACGGUGAAGAUGAGCAGCCUGGCAGCCGCUGGAAGGUGCAGAACAGGGUUGAAGUUCUUUCAAAGACCCAUUUCCAGAGAAUUGUCCUUAUUUGACCUACCUGGUCAUUCCCUGAAGACUGCCCCCACACAAAGGCUGUUUUCAUUUGAUCUGGCUUGGAGCUUGGCCAGUGCAAACAGCCUUUUCCUCAGGAGCAUUUGUUGAAAACAAUCAGAGACAGUUGUUGAAAUGUUGCCUGAGGUGGUUUAUAACAGUUGGGGAAAACAAUAGGUUAACCAACACACUUACAAGGAGAAGCUGGGAAAUGAAAUAUCUAUGAGGCUUUGGAAAGCUCUAGCAUGUCCUUGGGAGUCGAGAAGGGUGUGCAUAGGGUUGUGCAUGUACUCAGGAGAACCUCAAUCCUCCCCUCUGGCUAACCUUGGGGCUCUGCACGAGUGAAAGGUGGAGGCUAAGGUGGAGUCACAAACGGCCUGGCUGGGUGCUGCAGGUGUGCCCCCUCCCACACACAGAGCCCCUCCACAAAGGCUGAGAGACAUAUCGGUUCCACGCAGCUAAAGAAAUUUCUCUACAAACCUUAGCUGACCGUUAAGUUACCUGAGCAGAGACUUCAGUGGUCACAUAGGAAAAGAAUAUAAACUUUACAUAUUUAGUUCAGGAAAGUCACUAAACAAACAAACAGCCACAAUAACAAACCCUGGGGAGGGGUGGCCAGAAUCUAAUUUCUAGAGUUGCUGCAUUAUAUUAUUUAAAAUGUCCAGUUUUUAACAAUAAAAAUUAUGAGACAUUCGAAGAAACAAGAAGGUAUGCCCCAUACACAGCCCCUCUAUCAUGUGUGGGUCAUACUUUCUUCCUCAGGGGGAGGGGUCCCAGAGGAAACCCAGGCAUUGGAUUCACAGGACAAAGACUUUAAAUUAACUAUUGUAAAUAUGUUCCAAGAACUAGCAGAAACCAUGUCUAAAGAAUAAAAGGAAACUAGGAGAAUGAUGCCUCACCAAAAAGAGAAUAUCAAUAAAGAGAAAUUAUAAAAAAGAACCAAGUAGAAAUUCUAGAGUUGAAAAGUACAAUAACUGAAGUAAAAAAUUCUCUAGAGCAGCUCAAUAACAAAUUUGGGUGGGUGGAGGAAAGAAUCUGCAAACUUGAAUAGGUCAAUUGAGAUUAUCCAGUCUGAGGCACAGAAAGAAAAGAAUGAAGACAAAUUAACAGAGCCUCAGAGACCUGUGGCACACCAUCAAGCAUAUGAACAAAUGCAUAAAAGGAGUCCCAGAAGGAGUGGGGAGAGAGGAAAGGUCAACAAGAAUAUUUGAAGAAAUAAUGGCUGAAAAUUUGAUGAAAAACAUUAUCUGUGCAUCCAAGAAGCUCAAGAAACUCCAGGUGGAAUAAACUGAAAGAGAUUCACACUCAGACACAUCAUAAUCAAACUAUCAAAAGCCAAAAACAAAGAGAAUCUCAAGAGCAGCAAGAAAAAAGGCAACUCAUGAUGUACAAUAGAGCUUCUGUAAGGUAAACAGCUGAUUUAUCAUCAGAAACCAUGGAGGCCAGGAGGCAGCAGUAUGGCAUAUUCAAAGUGCUAAAAGAAGAAAAAAAAACACUGUUAACCAAGAAUUCUAUAUGUGACACAGCUGUCCUGUAAAAAUGAAGGAGAAAUUAGCAUAUUCCCAGGUAAAUGAAACCUGAGAGUUUGUCACUAGCAUACCUGUCCUAUAACAAAUGCCAGAAACAAUCCUUCAGGCUGAAAUGAAAGAACUCUAGACAGUCUCAACUCCACAAGAAUAAAUAAAGAACAACAUGAAAGGUAACUACAUAAGUAAAUGUAAAAGACCGUAUGAAUGUAUUUUUGUUUGUAACUCCUUUUUUCUCCUACCUGAUUUAAAAGGCAAGUGCAUAAAGCAAUAAUCGUAAAUCUAGGUUGAUGGGCACACAAUGUAGAAAGAUGUAAUUUGUGACAAUGAUGGCACAGGUGGGGGACCAAGCUACAUAGAAGCAAAAUUUUUGUAUACUAUUGGAACAAAUUGGUAUUAAUCCUAACUAGAUUGCUAUAAAUUAAGAUGUUAAUUGUAAUCCUCAGGGAAAGCACUAAUAAAAUAAGUAAAAAUAUGGGGCCGGCCCCGUGGCCGAGUGGUUAAGUUUGCAUGCUCUGCUGCAGGUGGCCCAGUGUUUCGUUGGUUCAAAUCCUGGGCGCGGACAUUGCACUGCUCAUCAAACCACGCUGAGGCACCACAUGCCACAACUAGAAGGACCCACAACGAAGAAUAUACAACUAUGUACUGGGAGGGCUUUGGGGAGAAAAAGGAAAAAAAUAAAAUCUAAAAAAAAAAUAAGUAAAAAUAUUUAUAGUAAAAGAAAUGACUGUUUCUUAGUCAUUUAAAGAGAAUUAAAUGGUACAUAUUUUAACACGAAAGAAGGCAGUAAUAGAGGAAUAGAGGACCAAGAAGACAUAAGACAUGUACAAAACAAAUAGCAAAGUGGCAAAAAAUCCUAGCUUAUCAGUAUUUACAUUACAUAUAAAUGGUUUAAACACUCCAAUUAAAAGGCAGAGAUAUGCAGAAUGGAUACAAAAACGUGACCCAGCUAUAUACUGUCUACAAGAAAUAUAUUUUAGGUUCAAAGACACAAAAACGUUAAAAGUAAAAGGAGAGAAAAUGAUACACCAUGCAAACAGUUCCCCCAAAGAGCUGGAAUGGCUAUACUAAUCUCAGACGAAAUAGACUUCAAGACAAAAAGUUUUACUAGAGACAAAGUAGGAUAUUUUAUAAUGAUAAAAGGAUCAAACCAUCAAGAAGAUAUAACAAUUAUAAACAUAUAUGCACCUAGCAAAAAAGCCCCAAAAUUCAUGAAGCAAAAACUGACAGAUUGAAUGGAGAAAUAAACAAUUCAAUAACAAGAGAGAGGUCAAUACUCCACCCUCAGAGGAUCUAUAAGGAAAUACAAGAGUUGAACACUGUAAACCUAUUAGACCCAGCAGACAUUGACAGCACACUCCACCUAAUAGCUGAAUAUACAUUCUUCUUAAGUUCACGUGGAAUGUUCUCCAGGAUAGACCAUAUAUUAGGCUAUAAUACAAGUCUCAAUAAAUUUUAAAGGAUUAAAAUAAUACAAAUUAUCUUCUCCAACACAGGAAAUAAAAUUAACAGAAAGAAAUUGGAGAAAUUCACAAACACAUGGAAGUUAAACAAUAUGUACUAAGUGAGAAAGAAGAAAUCAUAAAGGAAAUUAGGAAAUACUUUGAGAUGAAUGAAAACAACACCACCACACACCGAAACUUAUGGGAUGCAGCUAAAACAGUGCUCAAAGAGAAAUUUAUAAUUGUAAGCACCUCUAUUAGGAAAGAAGAAAAAUUUCAAAUCAAUAACUUGUUUCCACCUUAAGAAACUAGAAAAGGAAAAGCAAACUAAACCCAAUGCAAGUGGAAGGAAGUAAAUAAUAAAUAUUAGAACAAAAUUAAAUAAAAAAGAUAAUAAAAAAUAAUAGAGAAAUCUACAAAACCAAAAGUUAAUUUUUUAAGAAGACCAACAAAGUUAAUAAUCUUUUGUUAGACUGACCAAGAAAAAGAGUGAGACAAAUUACUAGAAUCAGAAAUGAAAGAGGGGGCAUUAUACCAAAGUUACAGAAAUAAAAAAGAUGAUAAGGGAAUACUAUGAACUGUUAUAUGCUGUGGUGGUCAGAACAGUGCUUGAUCUUUAUGUCCAGAUCCCUGGAACCCAUGAAUAGAUCACAUUACAUGGCAAAUGGAAUUUUGAAGAUAUGAUUAAGUUCAGGAUCUUGAUAUGGGGGUCUUAACUUGGAUUAUCUGGAUGGGUCCAAAGCAAUCACAAGGGUCCUUAUAAGAGAAAAAGGGAGGCAGGAAGAUUAGAGUCAGAGAUUUGAUGAUUCUAUGCUAUUGGCUUUGUAGAUGGAGGAAGGAGCUAUAAGCCAAGAAAUAAAGGCGGCCUCAAGAAGCUGAAAAAGAUGAGAGAACGGAUUCUUCCUUGGAGCCUCCAGAAGGUAUGAACACUUGCUAACACCUUGAUUUAGCCCAAUGAAAUUCAUUUUGAACAUCUGACCUCAGACACUGUAUGAUAUUAUAUUUGUGUUGUUUUAAGCCACAAAGUUUGUGGUAUUUUGUUACAAUGUGAUAGGAAAUGAAUACAUAUGACAGCAAAGUAGACAACCUAUAUGAAAUAAACAAAUUUAUAGAAAAGUAGAAACUACUGAAACUGACUCAGGAAGAAAUAGAAAAUCUGAAUAGACCUACAAAUAAAGAAACUGAGUGAAUGAUCAAAAACUUCCCGUUAGAAAAGUCCAGGGCCAGAUGGUGUCACUGGUGAAUUCUAUCAAAUGUUUAAAGAAGAUUUAACCCCAAUCCUUUACAAAAUCUACCAAAAAAUAAAGAGGGAACAUUUCUGAACUCAUUCUAUAAGGCCAGAAUUACACUGAUAGCAAAACCAGACAGAAGCAGCACAAGAAAAGAAAACUACAAACCAAUAUCCCUUAUGAACAUAGAUACAAAAAUCCUCAACAAAAUACUAGCAAACCAAACCAGGCAACACAGAAAAAGGAUUAUACACCAUGACCAAAUAAUAUUUAUAUCAAGAAUGCAAGGUUGGUUCAACCGUCGAUCAAUGCAAUCUACCAUAUUAAUGGGAUAAAGGACCAAAAAACACAUAACAAUCUCAAUAGACCCAGAAAAAAGAUAUGACAAAAUCCAACAACCUUUCACAAUUAAAAAAAAAAAAAACUCAACAAACUAGGAUGAUAAGGAAAUUUCCUCAACCUGAUAAGGAGUAUCUGCAAGAAUCUCCACAGCUAACAUCAUAAUAAUGACAGACUGAAAGCUUUCCCACUAAGAUCAGGAACAGACAAGGAUUUUUGCUCUUGCCACUUCUAUUGAACAUUGUAGUGGAGGUUCUAGCCAGGGCAAUAAGGCAGGAAAAUGAAAAGGCAGCCUGACUGGAAAGGAAGAAGUAAAACUAUCUCUAUCUGCAAAUAACGUGAUCUUGUAUACAGAAAAUCCUAAGGAAUUAAAAAAAAAAACUAUUAGAGCUAAUAGUUAUCUAGGUUACAGGAUACAAGAUCAAUAUGCAAAAAUCAAUUAUAUUUCUACACACUACCAAUGAACAAUAGAAAAAUGAAAGUAGGAAAACAAUUCCAUUUUCAAUAGCACAAAAAAGAAUACAAUAUUUGGAAUAAAUUUAAUCAAAGAAGCAUAAGACUUGUAUAAAACAUGGCUGAAAGAAAUUAAAGAAGACCUAAGUAAAUGGGAAGACAUCUUGUCUUCACAGCUUAGAAGACAGAAUGUUGUUAGGACAGCAGUACUCCCCACACUGCGCUACAGAUUCAAUGCAAUCUCACUUCUUUGAAGAAAUUGAUGAGCUGAUCCUAAAAUUUAUACAGAAAUUCAAAGGGUCUGGAAUGACCAAAACAAUCUUGGAAAAAAAGAAGAAAGUUGGAGGAUUCACACUUCCUGAUUUCAAAACUUACUACAAAGCUAUAGAAAUCAAGACUGUGUGUUAUCGGCAUAAGGACAGACAUAUAGACCAAUGGAAUAUUUGGAGUCCAGAAAUAAACCCUCACAUUUACCGUUAAUUGAUUUUUGAUAAGGGUGCCAAGACAAUUUGAUAAGGGGGGAAGAAUAGUCUUUUCAACAAAUCAUACGGGGAUGAUUGGAUAGCCACAUGCAAAAAAUGAAAUUGGAUCCCUACCUCACACCAUAUACAAAAAGUAACUCAAAAUUGGUCAAAGACCAAGUAAGUGUAAGAACUAAAACUAUAAAAGUCUUAGAAGAAAAUGUAGAUAUAAAUCUUCACAACCUUGGAUUUGACAAAGGUUUCCUACAUAAAUAACACCAAAAGCGCAGGCAAUCAAAGAAGAAAAGAGAUAAAUUGAACUUCAUCAGAAUUUAAAUACUUUUGUGUUUCAAAGGACACUAUCAAGAAAGUGAAAAGACAACUCACAGGAUUGGAGAAAAUAUUUGUAAAUCAUAUGUCUAAUGAGGGACUUAUAUCCAAAAUAUAUAAAGAACUUUUACAACUCAACAAUAAAAAGACAAAUAACCAUAUUAAAAAUGGGCAAAGGACUUGAAUAGACAUUUCUCCAAAGAAGAUAUAAAAAUGACCAAUUAUCACAUGAAAAUAUGCUCAACAUUAUUAGUCAUCAGGGAAAUGCAAAUUAAAGCCACAAUAACAUAUCACUUUACACCCACUAGGAUGGCUAUAAUCAAAAAGCUAAACAAUAAUAAGUAUUGGCAAGACUGUUGAGAAGUUGGAAGCCUCAUACAUUGCUAAUGAGACUGUGAAAUGGCAUAGCUCCCGUGGAAAACAGUCUGACGGUUACUCAAAAAGUUAAGCAAAGAGUUACCGUAAAACCCAGCAAUUCCAUUCCCAGGCAUAUACCGAAGAGAAUUUAAAACGUAUGUCUACACAAAAACUUGUACACACAUGUCCAUAGCAUUAUCCAUAAGAGCCUAAAAAUGAGUACAGCCCAAAUGUCCAUCAACUGAAGCACGGAUCAACGAAGUGUUGUAGCUACGCGCAAUGGAGUAUUAUUCAGGCAUAAAAAGGAAUGGACUGACACAGGCUACAACAUGGAAGACCUGGAAAACAUCAUUUAUAUGAAUGUCCAGAAUAGGUAAAGCUACAGAGACGGAAAGUAGAUUAGCAGUUACCAAGGGCUGAGCAGAGGGGAAAAUGGGGCGUGACUGCUGAGGGAUACAGAAUUUUUGGGGGAGGUGAUGAAAAUAUUUUGGAAUUGAUAGUUUAUGAUGCUGCACAACUUUUUAAAUAUACUAACAACCACUGAAUUGUAUGGUUUAAAAGGGUGAAUCUUAUGGUGUAUGAAUUACAUCAUUAAAAAAACAUGAAAAUCCAAACCCAAAAGAGAAAGAGUGACUUGGUGGUGCUGACCGGAGCAAGCACUGGCGUGUUGUGGGGCUGCAGCUGGGAAGUGAGGGAACCCCGUUCAUCAGAGAGCCCCUUCUGAGCUUUGCCCCGCGGGGUAUGAUUGUUCUGAUGAGUAGAAAUGGACCUUUUUCUUCACAAAUAAAAGAUCAGUAACAUAAAAAUUACUUUGGUUGACAUACUUUGUAUUUCUUUCUAAACUUUUCUUCCAAAGCAAGAUAAAUGUCUUUUGGGUUAUAGGUAGGUUUGAUGGAGUGUAUUUGUGCCUGGUGGGGCAAAGGUCCCCCAUCCUGCCCUUUCUCUUGGGGCAGAAGGAGGCACAGGGCAGCAUCUGCGGCGG
rnacentral:lncRNA from 1 species